ACGAACGCUGGCGGCGUGCUUAACACAUGCAAGUCGAACGGUGACUCAAAGCUUGCUUUGAUGAUCAGUGGCGAACGGGUGAGUAACACGUGAGCAACCUACCCUUGACUCCGGGAUAACAGUUGGAAACAGCUGCUAAUACCGGAUACGACCUCGACCGACAUCAGUUGAGGUGGAAAGUUCUGGCGGUCAAGGAUGGGCUCGCGGCCUAUCAGCUAGUUGGUGAGGUAACGGCUCACCAAGGCUUCGACGGGUAGCCGGCCUGAGAGGGCGACCGGCCACACUGGGACUGAGAUACGGCCCAGACUCCUACGGGAGGCAGCAGUGGGGAAUAUUGCACAAUGGGCGAAAGCCUGAUGCAGCAACGCCGCGUGCGGGAUGACGGCCUUCGGGUUGUAAACCGCUUUCAGCUCCGACGAAGCGCAAGUGACGGUAGGAGCAGAAGAAGGACUGGCCAACUACGU
rnacentral:rRNA from 1 species